CACGCCCUAAACGAUGAAUAUUAGGUGUGGGUGCGAAAAGCAUCCGUGCCGCAGCUAACGCAGUAAAUAUUCCACCUGGGGAGUACGGCCGCAAGGUUGAAACUCAAAGGAAUUGACGGGAGCCCGCACAAGCAGUGGAGUAUGUGGAUUAAUUCGAUGCAACGCGAAGAACCUUACCAGGGCUUGACAUCCCGCGGAUCCGUGAUAACGAUCGGAGUGCCCUUCGGGGAACGCGGAGACAGGUGG
rnacentral:rRNA from 1 species